AGCCCCGUAGUGUAGUGGCCAAUCAUACAAGGCUCUGGACCUUGUGACCACGGUUCGAAUCCGUGCGGGGCUA
rfam:Candidatus Woesearchaeota archaeon CG1_02_33_12 cg1_0.2_scaffold_2941_c, whole genome shotgun sequence.